GGGAAAGGGCGGGCUGCGGCUCGACAGGCGGCGCGCGUGGCGGGAUUCAGGGGGCUGGGAGCGCGCGCGCGCGCCCGCGGCGGGGAGAGCAUGCGUGCUGGGGUUCAGGAGCAAUUAGGCCUUUGCAGUAUUGGAGUGCAUCUCCUUUUAUCAGCUGUGGGUCAAAAGAGGAAGGAGCCAACUGCAUUGAUGUCCUGUAACUAUGUCAAAGUCAUAAUGAAGAAUUAAGCAGGAAGCUACUGAUACGUGAUGAACUAGAGUAAUUAUUAUUUCCCAGCUGGAAGCCAGGAGAGUCUCUGUGCAGCUUGUACCUGGAAUUAAGAGAAAGUUCGCAUAGAGAACGUGGUAUCAGCUGGUGGUCCUGUAGCCACCACUCCCAUCAAGAAAGCUGUGUGGAAUGAGAAACCCCUCUUUUCUUCGACAUACGGCUCAGUGCAUGGUAAGCCCAUGAAGGUUUUUUGCCCACCUAGGCUGCCUUCAAUUAAGUUCAUGUUGAUUUGAUUUGAAUAACUAUAUAUAACCUUGUAAAUGGCAUGCAUAAAGAACGUGAUAUUGUGCAUAAUAAUUUGUUCCAAGCCUCAUGCCCCCGCUGUAGAUUGCCCAAAGUCAAAUCCGAGGCAAUUCUAGCAACCUCCAGUUGCAUUGCCAUGCUAUCCCUUCUUCUUGAACUUAUCCUCCCUUCAAUCUCCCUUUACAUGAGCCUCCAAACUAAUAAAGGAGCAGUAAGUGAAUGAAAAUCAAUAAACCUGGUCGAGACCUUCUAGUGUUCUACGUUCCUAAACCUCUUGAUCUCUGCUGAGAGUAUUACUUGUGAUGCAGAAUUGGAGGUAGUUUUUAUUUUUUAAAUAUGAGCUCUUUGGAUAAAAAUUUUGGUAUUGAAUAGCUAAUCUAACAAGGAUAACAAUAUGAAAGAUAAUGUUGGUUAUUAAUUCUCUAAGGAAUACAAAAAUAAGACUUGUUUGAAAGUUCUCUUUUAAUUUUCUCUCACUCUUAAAAUCUGCUGGCUGCCUCUCUUUUCUGUAACACUAGAUAUUUGAGAUCUUUAAGAUUCAUUUUUUUCUUCUUCUUCCACUCUAAACUCCCUGGACCUCAUCUGUUGCCGUUGCCAUGGUUUCAGCUACAAUCUUUUUAGAACCCAUCUCAGUCUCAGGGCUCAGUAGUGCAAGAAAUGUUACUAUUUAAUUUUCUAUAACUGAACUUAGUUCCCCCCACAAGCUUCCUGUCUGCCUAGUGGUAGAAAACUUAGUCCUAAUCAAUUCCGCAUUCUCUGUCAACCCCCUUUUCACUAAGGUUGACUCUAAGUUCUAGCAGGCUGCUGUAGUACUACAUUAUCUCAGGGAUGGAGAGCAUGCCACGGUCCUUAUUACUCCAUGCUGACAUUACUGGAAGCAUCCUUGUUCCCUCUGGUCUCUAGUUGUGGACAUUUGUAUCAGUUGGAAUGAUGCUUGGCUGUUAGUAACCCAAACUAACAGAAUUUAAAGAUAGAUGUUAUAUUGUUCUCUCAUAUAAAAGUCCAGAGGUAGGUAUUCCAGGGUAAACUUGGCUAAUUUGCAUCCACAAAGGCAUCAGAAAUUCAGGCACUUUACACCUGGCUGCUUUGCCAUUUGUAGGUGUGGCCCUUAUCUUCAUAGUCCAGAGAGUGCCUCAAGCUCCAACCAUUACAUCACUGUUCCAGGCAACAAAACAGAGGAGGGAAUAAAGAAGAAAGUUCAGGUCUCAUGCUUGUCUUUUAAGAAAGGCUUACAGAACCUUCUACUUAAACUCAUAGAACAGAAUUGAGUCACAUGUAUCUGAUUACAGGCUAGGCUGGCAAAUACUGACUUUUUUGUGGGAAGCCUUGUAGGGGUUCUAUUACUAGGGAGGAAAGGGAGAACAAGGGAUAUAGGGGGCGAAUUAGCAGACUCUGCCCUAGCAUCUUUGCCCUCUGGCGUCCCUGGAGAAGUCAGCACUCCCGUCUGUUUCUGGUCUUCAGGCCAUGUAUUCUUAGGCUCAAAGAUGGAAAUCCUGUCAGGUCCUCUCUGACGUGCUCCUGGCCCUUCUGCAUCACUCUGUGGCUCCAGAGACUUGGGGCCUGUCUCCAGCUGCUCUGGGUACUCCGGCUUUGCCUCACUUCUGCAGUAUUGCUGCCGUUGCGCUAAGGUAUGUGGUAGGGAUGGUGGGAACUUCUGCAAAAAUUUCCAUUUGAGACUGUACCCAGGACACAGGUCACCUCUGCUUUUGGAUUCCACAAAUCUAACUGGGGGUUUUGUCAUUCUCCAGUUUUGAGGGAAAAACCCAAGUGCUGGAAGGGAGUUUUCAGAGCCUCUUCUCGGAAAUAGUCACCGUUUCCAGUACUGUCCAAUAAAACCUUCUGCCAUGAAAGAAAUCUGUAUCCGCACUGCCAAUAUGAUAGCCGCUUGCUCAUGUGGCUGUUGAACACUUAGAAUGUGGCUAGUGCAACAAGCAAUCAUUUUAUAAUUAACUUAAUUUAAAUAGUCACCUGUGGUUAUUGACUGCCAUAUUGGACAUCACAGGGACUGUGUCUAACAUAUCCCAAAUUGUAGAAACUUUUAGAAAAAUUUAGAGUACAUACAAAAAAUUAUAAAAAUGUAUAAGGUAUAAAGAAUAACAAUGAAAUGAACACUAAUGUGCCCAUCACCCAUGGUAAGAAAAACAAUAUUUCCAACAACUUUUUUGCCUCUUUUAUGCCUGCCUGUUUCAUCCCCUUUCCUCUUCCCGCUGAGAGAUCACUACUAUUCUGAAUUCUAUGUUUACCAUUUUUUUGGAUUUUUUUAUUGUUUCAUCACGUGUUUAUAUUCCUAGAUAAUGCAUUGUUCAUUUUUGCUUCUUUGGACUUUAUAUAAAUGGAAUCAUAAAGUGGCUUGCAUUUUUUUUACUCGCCAUUCUAUUGGUGAGAUUAAUUCAUGUUAAUGUGGUUAUAGUGGUUAAUUAAUUUUCACUGCUGUGUAAUAGUCCAUUGAAUAACUCUGGCCACAAUUAAUCAUUCCUCUCUUGUUGGACGUUGGGGUGUUUCCAGGGUUUUAUUUGGUUUUUGCUUUGUUUUUAACUUGUAAAGAUAUUUUAUUAUGUAAUUUAGCUGCUUCAAAUGUUUGUGUAAAGUACAAUGGUGUCUGUGAAAUUUAAUGAUGGUUCAAAAUUUGUAUCAGUUAAGAUAAAUGAGGCAUCAGUGAGAUUACUAAUUUUUCCCCAAAGGUACAUUAUGUUCAAAGACAAAAAUAUCAAUUUGUAAUUAUGGUGUUAAAAGACUGAUCCUAUUAUGCUUUUUUUUUUGGUGAGGAAGAUUGGACCUGAGCUAACAUCUGUUGCCAAUUUUGCUCUUU